GACGAACGCUGGCGGCGUGCUUAACACAUGCAAGUCGAACGGAAAGGCCCUGCUUUUGUGGGGUGCCCGAGUGGCGAACGGGUGAGUAACACGUGAGUAACCUGCCCUUGACUUUGGGAUAACUUCAGGAAACUGGGGCUAAUACCGGAUAGGAGCUCCUGCUGCAUGGUGGGGGUUGGAAAGUUUCGGCGGUUGGGGAUGGACUCGCGGCUUAUCAGCUUGUUGGUGGGGUAGUGGCUUACCAAGGCUUUGACGGGUAGCCGGCCUGAGAGGGUGACCGGCCACAUUGGGACUGAGAUACGGCCCAGACUCCUACGGGAGGGAGCAGUGGGGAAUAUUGCACAAUGGGCGGAAGCCUGAUGCAGCAACGCCGCGUGCGGGAUGACGGCCUUCGGGUUGUAAACCGCUUUCGCCUGUGACGAAGCGUGAGUGACGGUAAUGGGUAAAGAAGCACCGGCUAACUACGUG
rnacentral:rRNA from 1 species